rnacentral:rRNA from 1 species
AUUGAACGCUGGCGGCAGGCCUAACACAUGCAAGUCGAACGGUAACAGGAAGAAGCUUGCUUCUUUGCUGACGAGUGGCGGACGGGUGAGUAAUGUCUGGGAAACUGCCUGUUGGAGGGGGAUAACUACUGGAAACGGUAGCUAAUACCGCAUAACGUCGCAAGACCAAAGAGGGGGACCUUCGGGCCUCUUGCCAUCGGAUGUGCCCAGAUGGGAUUAGCUAGUAGGUGGGGUAACGGCUCACCUAGGCGACGAUCCCUAGCUGGUCUGACAGGAUGACCAGCCACACUGGAACUGAGACACGGUCCAGACUCCUACGGGAGGCAGCAGUGGGGAAUAUUGCACAAUGGGCGAAAGCCUGAUGCAGCCAUGCCGCGUGUAUGAAGAAGGCCUUCGGGUUGUAAAGUACUUUCAGCGGGGAGGAAGGGAGUAAAGUUAAUACCUUUGCUCAUUGACGUUACCCGCAGAAGAAGCACCGGCUAACUCCGUGCCAGCAGCCGCGGUAA